rnacentral:rRNA from 1 species
AUUGAACGCUGGCGGCAGGCCUAACACAUGCAAGUCGAGCGGAGCGGCGGACGGGUGCGUGUUGCCUAUGAAUCUGCCUGUUCGUGGGGGAUAACGUCCGGUAACGGGCGCUAAUACCGCAUCCUCUCAGAUGAGCCUCGGUCGGAUUAGCUUGUUGGUGGGGUAAAGGUCUACCAAGGCGACGAUCCGUAGCUGGUCUGAGAGGAUGAUCAGCCACACUGGAACUGAGACACGGUCCAGACUCCUACGGGAGGCAGCAGUGGGGAAUAUUGGACAAUGGGCGAAAGCCUGAUCCAGCCAGGCCGCGUGUGUGAAGAAGGUCUUCGGAUUGUAAAGCACUGUAAGUGGGGAGGCGGUACCAACAGAAUAAGCACCGGCUAACUUCGUGCCAGCAGCCGCGGUAAUAC